rnacentral:rRNA from 1 species
UACGUAGGGGGCUAGCGUUAUCCGGAAUUACUGGGCGUAAAGGGUGCGUAGGUGGUUUCUUAAGUCAGAGGUGAAAGGCUACGGCUCAACCGUAGUAAGCCUUUGAAACUGGGAAACUUGAGUGCAGGAGAGGAGAGUGGAAUUCCUAGUGUAGCGGUGAAAUGCGUAGAUAUUAGGAGGAACACCGGCGGCGAAGGCGGCUUACUGGACGAAGACUGACGUUGAGGCUCGAAAGCGUGGGGAGCAAACAGGAUUAGAUACCCUGGUAGUCCCUGAGCGGGCUGG